CCAGUUUCUGUAGUCGUAAGGUGUCCAUUUUAGAUCUUUGCGUCACCGUGUCACGCCGUCGUGGUUUUUCCAUUGGCCAACUGCCACUGUAAUUCCCUUAGGGGCUUUGUAGAUGCAGCGGGACGAGCUGUGUGCCAAAGGGCAACAGAGGAGAGGCGAGCGGAGCGCUGUAAGAAGGUGCAAAGCGGGAUAUUGGCACCAGAGCUGAUUCGGGCAAGGUGGUACCCGAGCCUCAACUUGGCAACCUG